rnacentral:ncRNA from 1 species
AAUAGGCUUGGUCCUGGCCUUUCUAUUAGCUCUUAGCAGGAUUACACAUGCAAGCAUCCCCGCUCCAGUGAAGACGCCCUACAAAUCAUCAUGACCAAGAGGAGCAAGCAUCAAGCACGCACACGCAGCUCAAAACGCUUUGCCUAGCCACACCCCCACGGGAGACAGCAGUGACAAAUAUUUAGCAAUAAACGAAAGUUCAACUAAGCCAUGCUAUAUUUAGGGUUGGUCAAUUUCGUGCCAGCCACCGCGGUUACACGAUUAACCCCAGCUAAUAGGGAUCGGCGUAGAGGGUGUUUAAGAUCUAACAUAAUAAAGCUAAACUCCACCUAAACUGUAAAACCCUAGCUAAUGUAAAAUAAACUACGAAAGUGGCUUUAAAGCUUCUGAACACACAAUAGCCAAGACCCAAACUGGGAUUAGACACCCCACUAUGCUUGGCCCUAAACCUCAGUAGUUAGAUAACAAAACUACUCGCCAGAAUACUACAAGCAACAGCUUGAAACUCAAAGGACUUGACGGUGCUUUACAUCCCCCUAGAGGAGCCUGUUCCAUAAUCGAUAAACCCCGAUCCACCCUACCCUCUCUUGCUCAGCCUAUAUACCGCCAUCUUCAGCAAACCCUAAUGAAGGCCACAAAGUGAGCGCAAACGCCGCCGCCGCGAAUACGUUAGGUCAAGGUGUAGCCCAUGAGACGGUAAAAAAUGGGCUACAUUUUCUAUUUCAGAAAACCCCACGAAAACCCUUAUGAAACUUAAGGGUCCAAGGAGGAUUUAGCAGUAAAUUAAGAAUAGAGUGCUUAAUUGAACCAGGCCAUAAAGCGCGCACACACCGCCCGUCACUCCUCUCAAAUAUAUUUAAGGAAUAUCCUAACUAAACGCCCUAAUAUUUAUAUAGAGAGGAUAAGUCGUAACAUGGUAAGCGUACUGGAAGGUGCGCUUGGAUAAAU